AGGUGAGGGGUGCACGGGUAAGGCGCGAGCCGCGAGGUUGAGGGGUCCACGCUGAGGGUUGCUUCCCCGCCAGCCGCGGCCUCUUCUCCACGAGCCCGGCCCCCUGCCCCCUGCCCGACUGGUUUUAUGGGGGAUCAUAAGGACAGUCACCACCUAACUAGGAGCAAAUCCGCAACGAUCGAGGAAACAGGGCGCUCCUGCCUUGCGCCCCCAGGCUGACGUUGGGACUUCUUUAAGCCAGCGCUGAGGAGCCCCAGCACCAGGACCGUAGAGAGGCUGUGGAGACAUAUGGGGCAAAUUGUGCCAGCAGCCUGGAACCUCCAGGAGCCCGGCUCAGUGGACAAAAUCCGGCAUGCUCGGACCUCACCCCACAGGCCUCACACCUCAGAGGCACCCCGAAAGGUGAGUUGGUGACCGCAGAGUGAGUUUGUAUCUUUUCGAACACCACCUGCCGGGGGUCCGAGCUCCCACCCCCAGUCUACAUCAGCCAAUCACAGCUCAUUGCAGGUGCUGCGCUUGUCACAUAGCUUCCUGCAAACGAGAAGCCGACCAAGCCAUGCACAGCUGGAAAAUGGCCCUUCUAAAGCCAUCAAGUCCUAAUCCAGGCAACCUGUAAAUAUUACCUCGUAUGGGAAAACAAUUUUUUUUUCGAAUGUCAUUAAGGAUCUUAAGAUAGAGAGAUUGUUCUGGAUCAUCCAGGUGGGCCCUAAACACUGUGGCUCACACCUGUAAUCCCAGCACUUUGGGAGCCUGAGGUGGGUAAAUCUCUUGAGCCCAGGAGUUCGAGACCAGCCUGAGCAACAUGGCGAGACCUCGUCUCUACAAAAGAUAGAAAAAUUAUCUGGGCAUGGUAGUGUGCACCUGUAGUCCCAGCUACUCCUGAGGUGGAAGGAUUGCUUGAGGCCAGGAGAUUGAGGCAGCAGUGAGCCAGGAUCGCACCACUGCACUCUAGCCUAGGUGACAAAGUGAGACCCUAUCUCAAAAAUAAAUAAAUACAACAGAGACAGGGUCUCUGUGUUGGCCAGGCUGGUCUUGAACUCCUGGCCUCAAGCGAUCCUCCCGCCUUGGCCUCUCAAAGUGCUGGGAUGACAGGCAUGAGCCAGCGUGCCUGGCCACAUGCAUCUUUGUAAGAGGGAGGCAGAAGGAAAUUUGGUGCCACACAGAAGAAAGGGCCAUGGGAAGAUGGGGCCUUGAAAGUGGGCGUGAUGCAGUCACAAGCCAAGUAACGCCGGAGCCACCAGAGGCUCCAGAAACAAGGAGCAGAUUCUCCCCAGGAGCCAUGCGAGGGAGCCUGGCCCUGCCAAUGCCUUGAUUUCAGCACAUUAAAAGUGAUUUUGGACUUCUGGCCUCCAGAGCUGUGAAGGAAUAAACUUCUGCUGUUGUAAAAGCCACUUAGCUGUGGUCAUUUGUUGCAGGAGCCAAUGAGUGACUGACAAGAUCAGAGCUGUGACACAGAGGAAGCAGAGCUGUGCCUCAUGCUUUCCAGGCUCUGCUCAUGAGAAACAGGUCACUGGGCUGGCCCAGUGCAGAUUAGGGUGUCACGUAGGAGCAUGAAUACCCGGGGAACCACUUAAGAAGUUGCCUAACACAUGGUGCUUAUAAAAGGAAAAGCAAACAAAGCAACUUUGUUCUGAGAGCUGGGACAUCAGAGGAAGACUGGAGCCACUGUUUCUCACUCAGCCUAUUUCUUUUUUUUUUUUAUUUAUUUAUUUUAUAGAGACGGGGGACUCACUAUGUUGGCCAGUUUGGUCUUUGAACUCCUGGCUUCAAAUGAUCCUCUCACCUAGGCCUCCCAAAGUGCUGGGAUUACAGGAGUGAGCCACCUUGCUGGUCGCGCACCCCAUUUUUUAAGGAAACCUAUACAGAAGGUGGAUUGGAAGUCUCACUUAAGGAGCCUGGCUCAGAAGUUCUGCAAGUUCAACUGGUGUCAUGUGACAUGCUUGGCAGUCACCACCCCCAUUCUUACAGCAAAGAAUAGCAGGGCACACGGCAAACCAGCAGCCUUUCAUGGGCCUAUCAGAGAACUAAGGCUGCCAGACAAACUGGCACCCUGCUCUGAAGAGACAGGCACAUCCAGGGAGAGACAGCACCUGAGAGCUGCUCACCCACAGCAGAAACUCCUGGAUAAACUGGCUUUAGCAGAAAAAUUAGACAACAUGCAAGACCAGAUAGGUAAUGUCAGCAGAGAUGGAAACAAUAAUAAAAAAAAAUGCUAGAAGUCAAAAACACACAAUGGAAAUAAAGAAUGCUCAUUAGUUGACUAGACAGAAUGAAGGAAAGAAUCAGUGAAUAUGAAGAUAAGUCAACAGAAACUUCCCAAACUGAAAUGCAAGGAGAAAAGGGGAUGAAAAAAAAAUCAACUGAUCUAGUUUGAGGGUGUGUCCCCACCAAAUCUCAUGUUGAGUUAUAAUCACCAGUUUUGGAGGUGGGGCUUGGCAGGGGGUGUUUGGAUCAUGGGGGCGGGUCCCUCAUGAAUGGCUUACGCCAUCCCUUCAUCCCCUUGUGAUGAGUAAGCUCUCACUCUGAGUUCACGUGAGAUCUGUUUUUGUUUUUGUUUUGAGACGGAGUCUCGUUCUGUUGCCCAGACUGGAGUGCAGUGGCACAGCACAGUCUCAGCUCACUGCAACCUCCUGGGUUUAAGUGAUUCUUGUGCCUCAGUCUCCCAAGUAGCUGGGAUUACAGGCUUGCGCCACUAUGCCUGUCUAAUUUAUUGUAUUUUUAGUAGAGAUGGGGUUUCAACAUGUUGACCAGGAUGGUCUCAAACUCCUGACCUUGUGAUCCACCCACCUCGGCCUCCCAAAGUGCUGCGAUUAUAGGCAUGAGCCACCGCGCCUGCCCGAGAUCUGUUUUUCUUUAAAGUGUCUGGCACCUACCCACCCCCUCACUCUCUCUCUCCGGCUCCUGCUUUUACCAUGUGAAAUGCCUGCUCCCACUUUGCCUUCCGCCAUGAGUAAAAGUUCCCUGAGGCCCCCAAGAAGCUGAGCAGAUGCUGGUGCCAUGCUGGUAUGGCCUGCAAGAACUGUGAGCCAAUUAAACCUCUUCUCUUUAUAAA